GACAGAGGCCUCGAGCGUUAGGCGGAAUCACUGGGCUUAAAGCGUGUGUAGGCGGAUCGUUAAGUGUCUUGUGAAAUCCCACGGCUCAACCGUGGAACGGCUGGGCAUACUGGCGAUCUUGAGCUGCCUAGGGGCGACCGGAACAAACGGUGGAGCGGUGAAAUGCGUAGAUAUCGUUUGGAACGCCGAUGGUGAAAACAGGUCGCUGGGGGCAUGCUGACGCUGAGACACGAAAGCCAGGGGAGCAAACGGGAUUAGAUACCCCGGUAGUCCUGGCCCUAAACGAUGUCCACUAGAUCGUGGCGCCUCUGACGGCGUCGCGGUCGAAGCAAAAGUGCUAAGUGGACCGCCUGGGAAGUACGGUCGCAAGGCUAAA
rnacentral:rRNA from 1 species